AGCGAACGCUGGCGGCGUGCCUAACACAUGCAAGUCGAACGUGAAUGGGAGCAAUCCCUAGUAAAGUGGCGUACGGGUGAGUAACACGUAGGUAAUCUACCUGUGAGUCUGGAAUAACCGGCCGAAAGGCUGGCUAAUACCGGAUAGAGCGAGGGGUUCGUAAAGGACUUCUCGGGAAAGGGAGCCCGCAAGGGCCUUUGCUUACAGAUGAGCCUGCGUCCCAUCAGCUAGUUGGUAGGGUAACGGCCUACCAAGGCUAUGACGGGUAGCUGGUCUGAGAGGAUGAUCAGCCACACUGGAACUGAAACACGGUCCAGACUCCUACGGGAGGCAGCAGUGGGGAAUCUUGCGCAAUGGACGAAAGUCUGACGCAGCCACGCCGCGUGAGUGAAGAAGGCCUUCGGGUUGUAAAGCUCUGUCGCCCGGGACGAACAUCCUUUGAGUUAACAGCUCAGAGGACUGACGGUACCGGGAGAGGAAGCACCGGCUAACUCUGUGCCAGCAGCCGCGGUAA
rnacentral:rRNA from 1 species